rnacentral:rRNA from 1 species
AGUGGACGUUGGUGGCGUGGCUUAGGCAUGCAAGUCGAGCGAGAACCGUAGCAAUACGGGGACAGCGGCGAAAGGGAGAGUAAUGUGUAGGUACCUACCCCGAGGUCUGGGAUAGCUGCGGGAAACUGCAGGUAAUACCGGAUAAUGUCAUCGGACCAAAGGUGCGAUUCCACCUUGGGAGGGGCCAGCAUCCUAUUAGCUUGUUGGCGGGGUAACGGCCCACCAAGGCGACGAUGGGUAGCGGGUGUGAGAGCACGACCCGCGUCAUUGGGACUGAGACACUGCCCAGACACCUACGGGUGACUGCAGUCGAGGAUCUUCGGCAAUGGGCGCAAGCCUGACCGAGCGACGCCGCGUGCGGGAUGAAGGCCUUCGGGUUGUAAACCGCUGUCGUAGGGGAGGAAAUGCAGGUGGGUUCUCCCUCCUGUUUGACCUAUCCUAGGAGGAAGUACGGGCUAAGUUCGUGCCAGCCGCCGCAGUAA